ACUACGGGAGGCAGCAGUGAGGAAUAUUGGUCAAUGGCCGUAAGGCUGAACCAGCCAAGUCGCGUGAAGGAAGAAGGAUCUAUUGUUUGUAAACUUCUUUUAUAGGGGAAUAAAGGUAUCCACGUGUGGAUCUUUGCAUGUACCCUAUGAAGAAGCAUCGGCUAACUACGUGCCAGCAGCGGCGGGAAUAAGGAGGAUGCGAACGUUAGCCGGAUUUAUUGGGGUUAAAGUAUGCGUAUGUUUGUUUGUAAGUCAGCGGUGAAAGUUUGUGGCUGACCCAUAAAAUUGCCGUUGAUACUGGCAGUCUUGAGUGUGUUUGAGGUAGGCGGAAUGCGUGGUGUAGCGGUGAAAUGCAUAGAUAUCACGCAGAACUCCGAUUGCGAAGGCAGCUUACUAAGCCAUAACUGACACUGAAGCACGAAAGCGUGGGGAUCAAACAGGAUUAGAUACCCGAGUAGUC
rnacentral:rRNA from 1 species